rnacentral:rRNA from 1 species
GAUGAACGCUGGCGGCGUGCCUAAUACAUGCAAGUCGAGCGAACAGACGAGGAGCUUGCUCCUCUGACGUUAGCGGCGGACGGGUGAGUAACACGUGGAUAACCUACCUAUAAGACUGGGAUAACUUCGGGAAACCGGAGCUACUACCGGAUAAUAUAUUGAACCGCAUGGUUCAAUAGUGAAAGACGGUUUUGCUGUCACUUAUAGAUGGAUCCGCGCCGCAUUAGCUAGUUGGUAAGGUAACGGCUUACCAAGGCAACGAUGCGUAGCCGAGCUGAGAGGGUGAUCGGCCACACUGGAACUGAGACACGGUCCAGACUCCUACGGGAGGCAGCAGUAGGGAAUCUUCCGCAAUGGGCGAAAGCUUGACGGAGCAACGCCGCGUGAGUGAUGAAGGUCUUCGGAUCGUAAAACUCUGUUAUUAGGGAAGAACAAAUGUGUAAGUAACUAUGCACGUCUUGACGGUACCUAAUCAGAAAGCCACGGCUAACUACGUG